UACGUAGGGUGCAAGCGUUAAUCGGAAUUGCUGGGCGUAAAGCGUGCGCAGGCGGUUUUGUAAGUCUGUCGUGAAAGCCCCGGGCUCAACCUGGGAAUUGCGAUGGAGACUGCAAGGCUUGAAUCUGGCAGAGGGGGGUAGAAUUCCACGUGUAGCAGUGAAAUGCGUAAAGAUGUGGAGGAACACCGAUGGCGAAGGCAGCCCCCUGGGUCAAGAUUGACGCUCAUGCACGAAAGCGUGGGGAGCAAACAGG
rnacentral:rRNA from 1 species